ACGAACGCUGGCGGCGUGCCUAAUACAUGCAAGUAGAACGCUGAAGAGAGGAGCUUGCUCUUCUUGGAUGAGUUGCGAACGGGUGAGUAACGCGUAGGUAACCUGCCUUGUAGCGGGGGAUAACUAUUGGAAACGAUAGCUAAUACCGCAUAACAAUGGAUGACACAUGUCAUUUAUUUGAAAGGGGCAAUUGUUCCACUACAAGAUGGACCUGCGUUGUAUUAGCUAGUAGGUGAGGUAAUGGCUCACCUAGGCGACGAUACAUAGCCGACCUGAGAGGGUGAUCGGCCACACUGGGACUGAGACACGGCCCAGACUCCUACGGGAGGCAGCAGUAGGGAAUCUUCGGCAAUGGGGGCAACCCUGACCGAGCAACGCCGCGUGAGUGAAGAAGGUUUUCGGAUCGUAAAGCUCUGUUGUAAGUCAAGAACGGGUGUGAGAGUGGAAAGUUCACACUGUGACGGUAGCUUACCAGAAAGGGACGGCUAACUACGUGCCAGCAGCCGCGGUAAUACGUAGGUCCCGAGCGUUGUCCGGAUUUAUUGGGCGUAAAGCGAGCGCAGGCGGUUUGAUAAGUCUGAAGUUAAAGGCUGUGGCUCAACCAUAGUUCGCUUUGGAAACUGUCAAACUUGAGUGCAGAAGGGGAGAGUGGAAUUCCAUGUGUAGCGGUGAAAUGCGUAGAUAUAUGGAGGAACACCGGUGGCGAAAGCGGCUCUCUGGUCUGUAACUGACGCUGAGGCUCGAAAGCGUGGGGAGCGAACAGGAUUAGAUACCCUGGUAGUCCACACGGUAAACGAUGAAUACUCGCUGUUUGCGAUAUACUGCAAGCGGCCAAGCGAAAGCGUUAAGUAUUCCACCUGGGGAGUACGCCGGCAACGGUGAAACUCAAAGGAAUUGACGGGGGCCCGCACAAGCGGUGGAGCAUGUGGUUUAAUUCGAAGCAACGCGAAGAACCUUACCAGGUCUUGACAUCCCGAUGCUAUUUCUAGAGAUAGAAAGUUACUUCGGUACAUCGGUGACAGGUGGUGCAUGGUUGUCGUCAGCUCGUGUCGUGAGAUGUUGGGUUAAGUCCCGCAACGAGCGCAACCCCUAUUGUUAGUUGCCAUCAUUCAGUUGGGCACUCUAGCGAGACUGCCGGUAAUAAACCGGAGGAAGGUGGGGAUGACGUCAAAUCAUCAUGCCCCUUAUGACCUGGGCUACACACGUGCUACAAUGGUUGGUACAACGAGUUGCGAGUCGGUGACGGCGAGCUAAUCUCUUAAAGCCAAUCUCAGUUCGGAUUGUAGGCUGCAACUCGCCUACAUGAAGUCGGAAUCGCUAGUAAUCGCGGAUCAGCACGCCGCGGUGAAUACGUUCCCGGGCCUUGUACACACCGCCCGUCACACCACGAGAGUUUGUAACACCCGAAGUCGGUGAGGUAACCUUUUGGAGCCAGCCGCCUAAGGUGGGACAGAUGAUUGGGGUG
rnacentral:rRNA from 1 species